CUGCUGCCUUCCGUAGGAGUUUGGGCCGUGUCUCAGUCCCAAUGUGGCCGUCCACCCUCUCAGGCCGGCUACUGAUCGUCGCCUUGGUGGGCCGUUACCCCGCCAACAAGCUAAUCAGACGCGGGUCCAUCUUGCACCACCGGAGUUUUUCACACAAAUCCAUGCGGCUUCGUGCGCUUAUGCGGUAUUAGCACCUAUUUCUAAGUGUUAUCCCCCAGUGUAAGGCAGGUUACCCACGCGUUACUCACCCGUCCGCCACUAAG
rnacentral:rRNA from 1 species